GACGAACGUUGGCGGCGUGCUUAAUACAUGCAAGUCAACUGAAGCACCGGUAGUAAUACUGGUGUGGAGGUGGCGCACGGGUGAGUAACACGUAGGUAAUCUGCCUUCAGGUCUGACAUAACCCCGAGAAAUCGGGCUAAUAGCAGAUGAUGCAGCGGCUUGACAUCAAAGACAGUUGUUAAAGCUUCGGCGCCUGAAGAUGAGCCUGCGUCCGAUUAGCUAGUUGGCGGAGUAAUAGCCCACCAAGGCGACGAUCAGUAGCUGGUCUGAGAGGAUGAUCAGCCACACUGGAACUGAGACACGGUCCAGACUCCUACGGGAGGCAGCAGUAAGGAAUAUUGCUCAAUGGGAGAAAUCCUGAAGCAGCAACGCCGCGUGAGGGAUGAAGGGCUUUGCUCGUAACCUCUGUAGUGAGGGAAAAAUUCCAUUCUAUGG
rnacentral:rRNA from 1 species